GGCUGGUCCAAAAGUAGUGAGUUAUCCUGACUGUUUCCAGGAAGCUUCAGAUAAAACUCCUUGUUCUCUUCUUUCCCUCUUCUCACUAUUGCACUUGACUAGAUUUUU
rnacentral:Y_RNA from 1 species